AACUGCCAUGAAUUACACACACGCUAGUAGUGGCUCGGCUAGAGGACUACAGCAGCCGAAGCCGUGAUUUGUAUGGUAUGUCUUGCCCUCAAUGUCUGGUUGGUUGGUAAGUCACUAAAUCCCUAUCUCCCGGUGGUCGAGUACCCCCGACGCGUCGAAUGGGUUGUUUAGUCUGACUUCUUGUGCUGGCCCGACAUCAUUCUGUCUCCCGCAUUCUCUCCUUUCAUCGGUUUGUUUUUUUUACUUCGCUUCGCGAUUAGAGUUGUACGCAUCAUGCAUGGGAAUCCUUCCGUCCUUGAUGUUAACGCUCUCGUGCGUAGGUCCCGGGUCAAAGGCAUCUCGAAGGAAGCUGCUCCGCAUAUGCGAUCACCUCCAUGUACCUACAGAUGAGGGCUCCAACGCCUACUGUACAAUCAUGUGGGAAGUGCAUCCUGCACACCAGAAAGUCAGUGGCGUACCCACACCCCCUCCCCCUGUACCUACACCCAUUGAAACGUUUAUUGUCUGACAAUCUCCGACGCGACGCGCAACGCCCCAUGCAAAUCCCUACGUCGGUCGAUCGAUGCGCACAGAAGGAGAGCUUGUCUAUAACGAAAAUAAGAAAGAUAGUGAAUCUUGUUUGAACCAUUAAUGAAAAAUAGAGGUUGGUACAAUAGUUAGGAAGUAAAAUGGGCUUUUUAUUGGGGAUAGAGGGACUUGACUUGAACCCUCACAAUUUAGAAAGUCGACGGAUCGACUAUAUAAUAUACUAUAAAUUUCAUUGUUGUCGGUAUUGACAUGUAGAAUGGGGUUCUCUCUCCAUUCACUUUGAGCUGGGUUUCUUGUGAUCUUUGUAGUUGUUUUUCCGUCCAAUUUUAUGGUAAAUUCAGUCAUAGGAAUCCAGACUCCGCUUGAUUCGAUCUUCAGUUUCGACCUUCAUCACUCAGGAAAUUUUUGUUGCCACUUAUUCCACUCAGAGAGACCGAACCAUCCAACAGCUAUGCCAUCCCCAUUGUCCAUUGAGCCUGCUCUGAAUAAUCCCCCCUUUGCUAUUGCAACUGAUUUAAGGUCUGGAACUACGAGCAUACUUUUCCAGAGAGAGUCCUUGUUGGCUCAAGUUGAGACCGUAGUGCAAGCUCAUCAAAGGAGGCCUUUAUAAGCCUAUUUGACAUCUACAAGGCACUAAAGCUUCAACCUGGCGGCCUCUGCUCCGAUAUAUCAGAAAAGAAAACCUUUUUUUACAGUAAGGGAAUUUGGCCCAAUAGUCCCUCCAAUUUGAAGUGAUCAAGCCACCACUGGUACCAGUAGGGAACUGGUACUACCACCUCCUCCAGCUCUAGCUGAGCUCUCCAGUUCUUCUCCAUCAGUGAGUUGCAAUGGGAGCAUCUCAACAUCCUCUGGUAGAAUCUGUGUAAUCCAAGCCUUCUGGGACAUCAUCCACCCGCAACUGCUUUCUCUCUUGCAGCUCUUUCAUAGCAAUGGCCUUUAUGUUUGGAGGCUAACCCAGGCAUCCAUCACUCUCCAGUGAUUUCAAAUCCAGAGGUUAAUCGUACUCUAGCAACUUUACGUAAGGCAGAGUUGGGUUUUUUGGGGUUGAUAGUGGAAAAGUCGACAGAUAAGUCAUCCUUACUGUCCCUCUACAGAACCGUACAUGAGAUUUUCACCUCAUACGGCUCCUCGUUCAAUUCUUUCGAAGGGAUCCUUUUCCUCGUUCGGGAGUCUCCGCCCUUCUUCCACUCCGUCCCGAAGACUAACUAAGACCAAUUGAGUCACGUUUUCAUGUUCUAAUUGAACACUUUCCAUUUAUGAUUAAAGGAGAGGGUUUGGUCAGGGGGAUGCAGAAAUAGUGCUUCAGGAUCCAUUGCGCGUCCAAGGCCUUUUGUUCUUCUUCGCAUCUGUUAUUUUGGCACAAGUUUUUUUGGUUCUCAAAAAGAAACAGUUUGAAAAGGUUCAAUUGUACGAAAUGAAUUUCUAGAUCCUGGGAUUUCUUACCAUCAAGUUAGAAAAAAGGUACAUAGAAUAUGUAUGGACAGUCUUUUCCAAUGCGAUAAAAUAAAGCAACAUCGUGUCUAUUUUUCUUUGCUAAAGGGGUAUUUCCAUGGGUUUGCCUUGGUAUCGUGUUCAUACUGUCGUAUUGAAUGAUCCGGGUCGAUUGCUUUCGGUGCAUAUAAUGCACACAGCUCUAGUUUCUGGUUGGGCUGGCUCGAUGGCUUUAUACGAAUUAGCGGUUUUUGAUCCCUCUGAUCCUGUUCUGGAUCCAAUGUGGAGACAAGGUAUGUUCGUCAUCCCCUUUAUGACUCAUUUAGGAAUAACGAAUUCGUGGGGUGGUUGGAGUAUUUCAGGAGGAACUGUAACGAAUCCGGGUAUUUGGAGUUAUGAAGGUGUGGCAGGUGCGCAUAUUGUGUUUUCUGGCUUGUGUUUCUUGGCAGCUAUCUGGCAUUGGGUAUAUUGGGACCUAGAAAUAUUCUGUGAUGAGCGGACGGGAAAACCUUCUUUGGAUUUGCCCAAGAUCUUUGGAAUUCAUUUAUUUCUUGCAGGGGUGGCUUGUUUUGGCUUUGGUGCAUUUCAUGUAACGGGUUUAUAUGGCCCUGGGAUAUGGUUGUCCGAUCCUUACGGACUAACUGGAAAAGUACAAGCUGUAAAUCCUGCGUGGGGUGCAGAAGGUUUUGAUCCUUUCGUUCCGGGAGGAAUAGCUUCGCAUCAUAUUGCUGCGGGUACUUUGGGCAUAUUAGCGGGCCUAUUCCAUCUAAGUGUCCGUCCGCCUCAACGUCUAUACAAAGGGUUACGUAUGGGCAAUAUUGAAACUGUACUUUCCAGUAGUAUCGCUGCUGUUUUUUUUGCUGCUUUCGUAGUUGCCGGAACUAUGUGGUAUGGAUCAGCAACUACCCCAAUCGAAUUAUUUGGGCCUACUCGUUAUCAGUGGGAUCAGGGAUACUUUCAGCAAGAAAUAUAUCGAAGAGUUAGCGAUGGGUUAGCCGAAAAUCUUAGUUUAUCAGAAGCUUGGUCUAAAAUUCCCGAAAAAUUAGCCUUUUAUGAUUAUAUUGGUAAUAAUCCAGCAAAGGGGAAAAACAUCUUUUGAGGAAUGGGCCAGACCCGGGCAUUUCUCAAGAACAAUAGCUAAGGGCCCCGACACUACCACUUGGAUCUGGAACCUACAUGCUGAUGCUGACGAUUUCGAUAGUCAUACCGGUGAUUUGGAGGAGAUCUCCCGAAAAGUCUUUAGUGCUCAUUUCGGCCAACUCUCCAUUAUCUUUCUUUGGUUGAGUGGCAUGUACUUCCACGGUGCCUGUUUUUCCAAUUAUGAAGCAUGGCUAAGCGAUCCUACUCACAUUGGACCCAGUGCUCAGGUAGUUUGGCCAAUAGUAGGACAAGAAAUUUUGAAUGGUGAUGUAGGCGGGGGUUUCCGAGGAAUCCAAAUAACCUCUGGUUUUUUUCAGAUUUGGCGAGCAUCCGGAAUAACUAGUGAAUUACAACUCUAUUGUACCGCAAUUGGUGCAUUGAUUUUUGCAUCGUUAAUGCUUUUUGCCGGUUGGUUCCAUUAUCACAAAGCCGCUCCCACCAUCAGCCACGGUAUUGGAUCGAUUUGCCUUGAAGAUAUGAAAUAAGAAAAAUCCAGAAUUUCUUCUUUGUGAUAAUAAUGCCAAAAAAUCUCAAGUUGGCUCAUCUGUCUUUCUUUCCCUUAUGUUGAUCAUUAGAGGCCUCUUGACUUUUCUCUUCCCUAUUUUUUAUUUAUUUUAUUUUUUAACUAGUCAAAAAAUAAAAUAAAAAUUUCUAGUGGUUUUCUUCCAAGAGAUGCCUGCUAAAAAUUGUUUGAAUCUCUCACCAAAACAGAUAAGAAGUAUAUCACUGAAAAUUACUAUCCAGCCAUAUGGGUAUAUGAAGAGCGCAAAUUCCUUUAUACCCCACCCAAUUAGAAUUAGGGGAAAUAAAACAUAAAUGUAGAAAGUUCUCAUCAUAAGAUCAGCCAAUAGAAGAAAAAAGUCCCUAAUUCUGCAGAACAUUCUGAGCACGUGAAAAGUGAAUAGCCUAAAGAUAAAAAAAAGUUUAUCAUUUUUUUAACAGCAGUUCUUAUUGCCCCUUUGGCCUUUUUGGCCCAUUGUUGUAUCCGAUUCAACAAUUGAUACAUAUUUGUUCUCCUCUAAAAAAAAGGAACUUCCGUUCCGAGCUUUGGUUUGGUGAGUCGUACGAGAGUUUAAAAAUAGUGAGUUAACUUAGUAAUGUUAGUAACCUUCCUUUGAGCCUCGACCAAAUAGACUUGUAGGUGGAAUGGCAAGGAACUAGUGCUCAUAAAUACAGUUAACUCUCCUUAACUCAAAUCAGCAGGGAACACUAACACUAAAGCAUUAUGUUUUAUGUGAGAAAUUCCAAAAAAAAAAUCAUCUAAACCUUUAUACAUGUGCCCGCACAUCAAUGCAGAUCUUUGUUUUAUACUAUGGUGGAAAUAUUAGCAUGUAUGCAAAUCAAAGUAAGUGUCAUCCUUAAUAACUGUGGACCCACUACAAAAUUUCCCUAGAAAUGAAAGUAGUGUGAAGUGUCAGUUGUUUUGUUUUGUUAAUUUAAAAACAAACAUAUGCCAGUUAGUUCUAUAGAUGCUUUGUAAGCUUUGUUUUCUUUUUUUAAAAAAUAUGUCAGGUUUCCUUCGUGACUCUUCCUGUUCACUAUAGUUAAAAAAAAAGAGGUUAUAGAAUUGCUUUUUUUUCGCUAAAAAAAAUUAAAACUUGUACCUCUACUUGAAUUAAUUGAACUGGAUUAGUCCACAAAAACUUCUAUUAGAACUAUAAGUUCCUAACUCCAUUUAGUCUGAUACAAUAAAGAUUUCGAAAAAGAACUACUAAUCCUUAACUUUUCGAGGAAUCCUUCAUCAGUGGUUGUGAAUGACUGACUUUUUCAAUCCUUUCGACCUUGGUUCCGUAGGAGCAAGUCAGAAAGGUUGAGAAAUAGAACCAUCUGAUUUGAUUCGUUCCCAAUAGCCAUGAGAUGAUCAUCUUAGGGUGAUCCUUUUGGGCUGUCUAUUCUCUAAUUCACCCGAUCCGAUAGUACCCGUUUUUGGAACGUCCAGUGCCAAAGUCACUGAAUGGGUAAGUCACCAAUCCAAUCCCUUUGACAAAUCGGGUGUCAUAUUAGAUAUCAUAUUCUAUAUAUAUAGAAAUAUCAUAGAAUAGACAUAUAGAAUUUUUGGUUGGGAAAUUCGAAUGAAUCAUUGAGUGAAAAAGGAGCAAAGAAUGACAAAAGAUGAGACUCUACUAGUCUUCACUCUUGUGGUUUCCUCGGAUCCCGAGCCGGUCUUAUCUUGGCUCGCAAACCCAAGUUUGUCUAUGAAGAGCUAAUCUAAUUGUAUUAGUUUCUAUAAUGGAUUUCUUAUGUGGAAUACUAAUGGAUAGGGCCUCGUUGCUAAGUGCUACAAGAUCUAGUGCACUGGAACUCGUGGUUAUGGACCCGAAUCCUUUAGUAUGGAACAUUGUCUUUUCCAAGUAAAAACCCCUAGUAUAUGAAAGAAUGAAAAGGUGCUUUCGUUCUUGUGGAAUAAGAAGCCCUCGUACCUUAAUGAAAGGAAAAUAGGAAUUUUUCGUUAGGUAUUUGACCAAAUAGGAUCGUCCAGUUCCUAUAGAACCUAUCACUAAAAUACCCGAUAGGGCUAAGCGGAACGAAAAGGGUUUUCCAUGAGAUGGUAAAUGAAAACGAUUAGCCCCACACGAGGUUUGGGAAUAAGUGAUUGUCUGAUAAUGAGCAAGGAAUAUACGUCUUUCUGCUAAAGAGGAUCUAUUAAACUCAUAAUUCAUUAGAUCCUUGUUAGCAAUGUCAACUAGGUAUCAUAAGUAAAUGGAUCUCGGUUGUUCAAUCCUUUGAUAACCAAGGUCAUUCUUUGCUAAAGAGAAAUGAUCACUAUGGGUCAGACUCAAUAGAAUUGGAUCCAUUCCAAAUAGCGAGAAUUAGGAUUCUUGAUCCCUCUCAAUCUCUCUUUCAAUUCGAGGAUCCAGAGAGGUUUUUUCAUAGUCAUCUCCGAAUAUUUGCCAUCUCCGAAUAUUUUCGAUUUCAUUUUUCUAUGAUAUGUCUUUCUAUAUGAAAAUUGGUUAUUUACGAUGUACGAUGAUCCCUGUUAAGCAUCCAUGGCUGAAUGGUUAAAGCGCCCAACUCAUAAUUGGUAAAUUUGCGGGUUCAAUUCCUGCUGGAUGCACGCGAACGGGAACGGUCUAUUGGAACUGGCUCUCUAUCCAUGGAAUCUCAUCCAUCAUCCAUACAUAACGAAUUGGUAUGGUAUAUUCAUACCAUAACAUAAGAACAAUAAGAACUCGAAUUCUUAUCGAUACUGGAACUCAGAGCAUAGGAGGGAAAGUCGAUUUAUGGAUGGAAUCAAAUACGCAGUAUUUACAGAAAAGAGUCUUCGUUUAUUGGGAAAGAAUCAAUAUACUUUUAAUGUCGAAUCGGGAUUCACUAAGACAGAAAUAAAGCAUUGGGUCGAACUCUUCUUUGGUGUUAAGGUAGUAGCUGUGAAUAGCCAUCUGUUGACACCGUUUUUGGGCGCGUGUCUAGGAUGGCAGGAUAAGGUGGCAGUACGAUGUUUACAAAGCGGGUUGCCGAUGAGGAUGGUGGCCGAUGAGGGAGAAGUUGAAUGUGACUAAGUCCACAGGCAGUAAUAUGGUGCCGAUGGCUAGAUAAGAAAGUCUGCCGAUGACUAUGGCAAAGGAUCUGCCGAUGAUGCAAAGGAGGAGUCUGGAAGCUGCCGGUCGUUAUGUGGAGGAGUUUCGGUUUGUCACGAGGGAUAGUUUUGUUAUUUCCUUAAUUAUUUGCAUUGUUUUGUAUACGGAUUCCGUGUAAUUUGGAGUUCGAAUUCUAAUCGUGUCUGGUUGUAGCUCUUUGAGCAGGGUAUAAAUAUAGACCCUAGGGCCUUGUAAUAAUCAAUCAAGAAAUCAAUCAAACACACGUUUUUACUCAUAUUCCAGCAUUUACUUUUCGACGACUUCAUCAUACUUUUUCCUUUUGUUACGAGUUCUUAGGAAUUCGUCGACUUAAGCUCAGCGUGUUCUCAAGUUCCGCGUGAGUACCUCUUAGCCGUGACAUCCGGGCGCAUCGCUGUUGUCAGGACUAAAGUAUUCGAGUUAUCACCUUUGCCGAUAGCAAGGUCAAAUCGGCUGGCACGCCUUAACGUUUGAAUCGGGUAUUAGCCCUUUGUGUUUGCAGAUCAGUUUUGCAUCAACACAUCUUUUGGCACGCUCGGUGGGACAAGAUUCAAGACCAAGAUCAACAUGUCGAUCUCUGACCUCGAUCAAGAGAACGUCAUCCCCGUGACGGAGGCCAACCUCAAGGAUGAGCAGAAGCAAGCUAUUGCCCAAGCCAUGGAAGAGUUCAAGCAGCAAUGCCUGAGGUCUUUCAGCAUAAACAGGAGCGGCGAAGUGGUCCAGAAAGAUGCACUGCCGGCACCACGGCAGGUUACCUUUGACGCCAAUCCUGGCAAGCUUCAAGAUAUGGUUGACAAUGCCAUCAAUCGAGCGUUGAUUAACCAAGCUGGUGUACUGUCUAAUACGGUUUUCAAUGCCGUGGCAAGAACUUUCAAGGAAGGACAAAUCCCACCAGAUUAUGUGGGCCCCUCCCAUCAUCAGCCAACGGCACCAGAGGUCACGGCUCCAUCGGCUGCCUUGACGAAUGCAAGUGCACAAUCUGCCGUCCCUCCAAGUACAUCGGGGACUACUGGUGCACUAUCUAUGCCGAUGGCAACCAACCCACAAAUUUCAGUUGGGCAGCAUAAACUGACAACAGAUAUGUUGGCAUCGGCAAUGUCAGGGUUGACUCUUCCUCCCAACUGGUGGGGUUACGGUAUGCCUCCAGAGUUGACGCCGGGAACAUCACAAAUAACUGACAUGAGCCUAUGACAUCGGCACCUCCCAAUGUGCCGGUGAACCAGAGUCCUCGGUAUACCACAACUACUACUGCAAGGCCUCACACUGGAAAUCCUCAAGAUUCAAUGUUCCAGAUGCCCAACGCAUCGGCAGAGUCAAUGCUGAUGCAACAGAGGCCUAUGGCCCAGUCGGGGUAUGUCAAUUCAACGACGGUACCCAAUUACCAAUCAUCGGCAGCACCUAUGCCGAUGAACGCUAAUAAUGGAUGGCUUGGACAACAAGCCUUUCCACAAUCGCCCCAACAGAGUUACCAGACUACAGGGUUCCAGCAAGGUCAGGUCUAUCCCGGGUUCCAAGGUCAGGGGAUUCCCAACCAGCCAAUGAAUUUUGGACAGCAACUCGGAGGACAACCAAUCGGUGGACAGCAGUUUGGUGGUCCGCAGAUUGGAGGACAGGUGAUCAAUACAAUGUUCCGCGCGGAUCACGUCCCCAACAGACACGUGGAGGUUCGCCACCAAGUACCAGAUCCGCAGCCGCCUCAUCGGCAAGAUGCCGAUGCAUAUUGGGCCGAUAAGAUUGCUAAAGUAAUGAGGGAACAAUUUGGGAUAAAACCCAAAGUCAACACUUAUUCUUAUCGGACACCGUAUCCUCCCGCGUAUGAUUUGAUCCCGCUUCCACAUCGGUACAAGGUACCGGAUUUUACAAAGUUUUCCGGACAGGACGACACGUCAACCAUGGAGCAUGUCAACAGGUUCAUUAUUCAAUGUGGAGAGGCUGGUAACAGGGACGAAUUGAGGGUUCGUCUAUUUUCAUCAUCAUUGUCUGGAUCGGCCUUUACUUGGUUCAUAUCGUUACCUCCCAACUCUGUAAUUACUUGGGCCGAUCUAGAGAAGCAAUUCCAGAAAUACUUCUUCUCGGGGGUUCAUGAGAAGAAGAUCACCGACUUGGUCAAGUUGAGACAACGUAAUGAUGAGUCGGUUGAGGGAUUUGUGCAGAGGAUACGAGAGGUCAAGAAUAAAUGCUAUAGCCUGGUUCUAGAUGAUCGGCAGCUAGCCGAUUUGGCUUUCCAGGGUUUGUUGCCACAUAUCAGGGAUAAGUAUGCCUCUCAGGAGUUCGAAAGUUUAAGUCAUUUGGUGCAGAGGAUUUCUGAUCAAGACAUCAAGCCUUUUGAGCCUAAGAGAGCAUGGAAUAAGAAAGUGUCAUUUGUCGAUGAAGCAACAAGCUCAGAUUCUGAUGAAGAACCAGUAAUCGGUUUGGCAGAGUGGGUAAAAAACAAGAAGCCGAUGUCUUGUCCUUUUGGGCAGAAGGAACCGGAGAAGUUUGCUUUUGACACCGCUAAGGCUGAUAGGAUAUUUGACUUUCUACUUCAGGAAGGUCAGAUCAAACUGUCACCUAACCAUGUGAUCCCAUCGGCAGAAGAGUUGAAGAGGAUGAGAUAUUGCAAGUGGCAUAAUGCAACUUCCCAUGACACCAACGAGUGCAAAGUAUUCAGACAGUAGCUGCAAUCGGCUAUAGAGUCAGGGAGAAUCAAGUUUGACAGUUCCAAGGCCCAGAAGCCGAUGAAGAUAGACCAACAUCCUUUCCCGACAAACAUGUUGGAUGCUAAGGGGAAGGCUAAGGUCUUAACAUCAGAGACAGCUGAGAAGAGUGCAUCGGUAGAUCCUCAGCAUCAAGUUACUACUGCCGAUGCAAGAAGUAAGGGCUUGGUCCAGGAAGGAACUAGCUCAGGAAGGCUUCCUCGAUCUGGUAUCGUCAUAACUCAUAGAAGGCCUCGAGAAAAAUGGCAACAACGGGAAGAUCGGUAUCGGCGCCAGCAGGAAGAUUAUCGACGGGAAGAAGAAAGACGCCGACAGGAGUGGAAUCGGCACAGGGAAAAGGAGAUUGCAACGUGAAAGGCAAGAAGAGCUAAACAAGGGAGAGAACUCUGGAAGUCGACAGCCGUCAGACACUAAGAGGGAAGGUCCAUCGGCAGGCGUCAACAUGGUCUUCAUGUUGCCGAUGGAGUUUCUUGCACCAGCCAGUGAUGAUGAGUUGGAAUUUUCUGAUCAGAUAGCUCAGUUGGCUCUGGAUCCGAUGACGGCUAUCUUUGAGAAACCGGCCGAUGACGAGAGGCAGCAUCUUAAAGCUCUGUUCCUCAAAGGAAGGGUUGAUGGGCAGCCAAUGACCAAGAUCCUAGUUGAUGGUGGAGCUGCUAUUAAUAUUAUGCCAUAUGCAGUAUAUCGGAAGCUUGGGAAAGGGGAUCAAGAUUUGACCAAGACCGAUAUGAUGCUCAAAGACUUUGAAGGAAACGUGUCUCCAGUCAAGGGGGCGAUAUGUGCAGAGUUGACCAUCGGCAGCAAAACCUUGCCGACAACUUUUUUCGUGAUCAGCGGAAAAGGUGCUUACAACUUAUUAUUGGGAAGAGAUUGGAUUCAUGCCAAUUGUUGUAUCCCAUCUACAAUGCAUCAAUGCUUGGUUCAGUGGGUAGGUGACAAGAUUGAGAUUGUCCCAGGAGAUUCUUCUUAUGUUAUCGCAUCGGCAGAAGCGGAUACUUACGAAAGGACCAGGUGCAUUUCAGGAGAAGUUUGGGAGAAAGAUUUUCUCAAAGUUGCCGAUUAUGAGAUUCCACCGAUCCAAGCAGUCGGUUCUGACGACGGUUUUUAAUGGAUAGAUUCGCCGAUGAUGGAAAAUUAGGCCAGGGAUUCACAUCGGCCGAUGAUUUGGUAGAAAUAGAUAUAGGUAGUGGUGAUAAGCCUAGGCCUACUUUUAUUAGUGCUAAGUUAGAUCCUGAGAGUAAGCAACAAUUGACUAGUUUGUUAAAGGAAUAUAAAGAUUGCUUUGCUUGGGAUUAUACCGAGAUGCCUGGUUUAGACCGAUCAAUUGUUGAACAUCGGUUACCCAUCAAGUCUGGAUUUCGGCCACAUCAGCAACCAGCCCGCCGAUGCAAUGCUAACAUUCUACCUGAUAUUAAGGCCGAAAUCACCAAACUUAUUGAAGCCAAGUUUAUUCGGCAGUGUCGGUAUGCCGAGUGGAUUUCCAAUGUUGUUCCGGUUUACAAGAAGAACGGGAAGCUUCGGGUGUGCAUUGAUUUCAGGAAUCUCAACAAAGCUACGCCGAUGGAUGGAUACCCAAUGCCUGUCGCCGAUCUACUGGUUGAUGCUGCGGCUGGUCAUCAGGUCAUCAGCUUCAUGGAUGGUAAUGCAGGUUACAAUCAAAUAUUCAUGGCGGAGGAAGAUAUUCCAAAGACCGCAUUCAGGUGUCCCGGUCAUGUUGGGCUGUUUGAAUGGAUAGUCAUGACUUUUGGGUUGAAGAAUGCUGGUGCUGCUUAUCAAAGGGCUAUGAAUUUUAUAUUUCAUGAGUUCAUUGGCAAGCUCGUAGAGAUUUAUAUUGAUGAUGUGGUGGUUAAGUCUGGAGAUUUCUCAAAGCAUCUUGCCGAUUUACAAAAAGUGUUAGAGUGCACAAGGAAGCAUGGAUUGAAGAUGAAUCCCAACAAGUGUGCAUUUGGUGUAUCGGCAGGGCAGUUUCUUGGUUUCAUGGUACAUCAGAGGGGUAUGGAAAUUAGUCGAAGAUCUAUUGAUGCCAUCAAUAAAAUAGUGGCCCCUACCAACAAACCGAGCUCCAAUCCUUGAUCGGCAAGGUAAAUUUUAUCAGAAGAUUUAUAUCGAAUUUGUCUGGUAGGAUUCGUGCUUUCAGUCCUCUUCUUAAAUUGAAAGCCGAUCAAGAGUUUAUUUGGGGAGAAGAACAGCAGUUGGCUCUGGAUGAAAUCAAGAAGUAUCUAGUAAAUCCUCUAGUUCUAGUUCCACCUCAACAAGGGAAGCCCUUCAGAUUGUAUUUAUCUACCGAUGGAUCGGUUAUCGGUUCAGCUUUAGUUCAAGAAUUUGAAGGGAAAGAAAGGGUAAUUUAUUAUUUGAGUAGGAGGUUGAUUGAUGCUGAAACCAGGUAUUCGGCCAUUGAGAAACUAUGCUUAUGCUUAUAUUUUUCAUGUAUCAAGCUGAGACAUUACCUGUUAUCGGCCGAAUGCACUGUUGUUUGCAAAGAUGACGUGGUCCGAUACAUGCUAUCUAUGCCGAUUAUGAGUGGUAGGAUCGGUAAAUGGAUUUUAGCGCUAUCGGAGUUCGAUUUGCGUUACGAAUCGGCUAAGGCAGUCAAAGGGCAGAUUAUGGCCGAUUUUGUGACUCAGCAUUGCGGUCUAGUGGAAACCUUGGAAAUUGUACCCUGGACGCUCUUCUUUGAUGGAUCUACCUGUGACCGGGGGGCAGGAAUCGACAUUGUAUUAGUCUCCCCUAAGGGGAGAAAGUAUGAGUUUUCCUUGCCGAUUGUUGCCACAUCAACAAAUAAUCAGGCUGAGUAUCAAGCUCUGAUCAAGGGAUUGGAGUUGUUAAGAGAAGUUCGUGCUGAUGCUGUUGAAAUAUUCGGGGAUUCUAUGUUGGUUAUAAAUCAAUUGGCCGGAAGCUAUGAAUGCCGAAGUGAAGUUCUCAUAACUUAUUUCGAGAGAAGUAUGCAACUGUUAAAGGAAUUCAAGGAUUUCCGAUUGGAGCAUGUUCCCCGAUUGCAUAAUGAAGACGCUAAUCGGUUAGCUCAGCAUGCCUCGGGAUAUCAGCCAAUGAUUAAUGCGACAUCGGCAGUCGGUGCCGGUGAUUGGAGGAAAGAAAUUAUUGAUUAUCUAAAAGAUCCAUCCAAAAAAGUUGAAAGACGGGUUCGAUUUCAAGCAACCAAGUAUGUGCUCCUUGAAAAUGAAUUGUAUUAUCGAACUAUCGACGGAAUUCUUCUCCGAUGCUUGGGUGAUGAUGAAGCUAGAAGUUUGAUGGGGGAAAUCCAUGAAGGAGUGUGUGGAGCGCAUCAGUCAGCUUUUAAGAUGAAGUGGAUGAUUCGAAGGAAUGGAUAUUUUUGGCCAACCAUACUUGAAGAUUGUUUUAAAUAUUUCAAGGGAUGUCAAGGUUGUCAAAAGUUUGGUAAUAUCCAGAGAGCACCCGCAUCGGCUAUGAAUCCUAUAAUAAAGCCUUGGCCGUUCCGGGGAUGGGCCAUCAAUCUGAUCGGCCAGAUUUAUCCACCAUCUAGCAAAGGGCAUAAGUUCAUUCUAGUUGCCACUGACUAUUUCACUAAGUGGGUUGAAGCUAUUCCUUUGAAGAAAGUCACAUCGGCCAAUAUGAUUGAUUUUGUGAAGGAGCAUAUUAUUUACUGAUUUGGGAUUCCCCAAACGAUUACUACCGAUCAGGGCACCAUGUUCACAUCGGGGGGGUUCGAUGAAUUCGCAAUCGGUAUGGGAAUUAAAGUGUUGAAUUCUUCUCCUUAUUAUGCUCAAGCCAAUGGGCAGGCCGAAGCGUCUAACAAAGGAAUUAUCAAGCUUAUUAAACGAAAGAUUGAAGAAAAUCCUAAGCGGUGGCAUACAUUAUUAAAUGAAGCAUUGUGGUCUUAUCGGAUGGCUUGUCAUGGAUCGACCAAGGUAUCACCCUAUCAAUUGGUGUAUGGACAUGAUGCAGUGUUGCCUUGGGAAAUUAAGGCUGGAUCUAGGCGAUUAUCUUUUCAAGAUCAAUUAACUUCCGAUGGUUAUGCCACUUUGAUGACCGAUGAAUUGGACGAUCUAGCAGGGCAUCGGUUAAAAGCUUUAAUGAGUAUAGAAGAAAAUAAGAAGAGAGUUGCUAGAUGGUAUGAUAAGAAAGUGAAGGCUAAAGAGUUUGCCGAUGGGGAUUUGGUAUGGAAAUUAAUUUUACCAAUUGGGACCAAAAGUUCGAAGUUUGGAAAGUGGUCUCCUAAUUGGGAGGGUCCUUAUCGGAUAAGUCGAUCGGUUCCUGGUAAUGCCUACAUUCUAGAAACCCUCGAAGGAAUUGAAUUUCCCAGAGCAUUAAACGGCAAAUAUUUAAAGAAGUACUACCCCAGUAUAUGGGUCGAUGCAUAGAAGUUUAGGUGCCGAUAACACUCCUAUCGGCUGGAUCCAAAUGCUUGGGGACAAGACUUGGUGUUUCAAAAGUUUAGGCGCCGAUAACAGUCCUAUCGGCUAGACUAAAAGCUGAGGAAGCAGGAAAGCGCAGAUACAAUGCCGAUGGAAACUCUAUGUGUUAAGCAGCGUCUGGAUUGCCGAUAUAGCGCGUAGCCGAAUUUGGUUGGCUGCUUCUAUCUCUUUGAUGUCAUCAUCGGCAGAACCUUCUAUCGGCUUCAGCUUCUUCUUCAGUUGGAGUGCUUUGCGACCAUGAGCAUUUCGCUCGCGCUCAAGAAGCCUGAUGGUCUCUGGCAAUUGGCUCUCUUCCUGUUGGGCUUGGGACAGAGCAUUCUCUACUUCCUUGAGCUCCGCCAACAGGGACUCUUUUCUUGCCGAUAGAUCGGAUAUCUUCUGCUUCAGCGCGUCUCCAGAAGAUCUCAGGAUACCGAUGUUCUUGUGCUUCUCAUCGGUCAAAAGCUUCUCUUUCCUCAUUUCAUCAGAGAGUUGAGUCUGAGCGGCUCUAUCGGCAAGCCGCCGAGAAGCUCUUUGGUACUGCAGCUGGCGACUCUCCAGAUGAGCGGCUUGGAACAGGAUUUCUUCAACAUCGGCUGGGAUUUGGCCUCUGAGAGUUCUGAACAGGGUCUUGGUAGGGUCGGAAUCAUCAACCAAUUGCGCUGUGUCCUGGUGAAGAAGAGCUGACGAUUCUUCCAGCCUGACCCUGACCUCUGCCGAUGUGAUGCCGACCGUCUGAGAAGUGCUUGCUUCUUCACCUUCUUCUUCAGAGAGAUCAAUGGCGAAGGAGAACAGGCUAUCAGGAGAAUCUUGUUCCUGGGAGGGAAAGCAAAAUUAGCUCAUACUUAGAGAAUCGACAAAUAGUGCUAACGGUAAACGGUGACUUACUUGCUUCAAGGCGAUCUCUUGUCCUUGACUGAGAAGUGCUGACGGAGCUGCAGGCUGAUCGGCCAAAGAUGCCGAUGGAGCUACAGGUUGAUCGGCUGAGAUUGCCGAUGGAACGAUAUCAACUGAAAGAAGACAAAAGGAGUUAUGAGGCUAGAUAAGAAUAAGUUCAUCGGUAGCGAUAUUGUUAAAGUAUGUUACCUGGAGGAGGGACAACGGUUGUCUGAAUCGGGAGAACUGCCGAUGGUAUAACUGGACCCACCGGGCCAGUUGUUUGUUCGCCCAUGUCAGCUGAUGUAUCUUCUGUUUGAGAUCCUUCCUGUUGGGGUUCUUCUAUCUGUGGUGCUUCCUGCAUAGGUGGGGGAGAUGGUGCUUGCUAUGGUUGGGCUUCUGGAGAAGAAGGAGAAGACUCCACCGGAAUUGGAGAUACCGGAGGAGGAGGGGGAGUUGCUACCUUCUGGCGCUUUGUUCCAGUCUUAGCACCCAUGGUGCCCUUUCUCUUGGGUUGGCUAGACUGGGGGGCAUCGGUACUCUCACACCUGGCUUUCGCCGAUGCGCCGGUUUGCUGCAAUAAUGAACAAGAGUUUAUAAGCAUAAAUAUAGCCGAUAUAAAGAUAGUCAGCAUAAAGGAAAAGAUUUGACAGAUUGCCUUGAAAGCCCGCGCAAGAGUGGGAGCAGCAACCGUUGGUGAUGUCUGAGUUCUUCUGGUGGUGACUUUCCUGAGGCGUACACCCCGAUGCACGAUGGAAGCUAGAGUGGGAGCAUUGUGGCCGAUUGAGGAAAUCGGGCCUGAUGGAAACAAGUCGAUCGGCCUGCCACUCCUGCUAACCAAUGGAGGAAUAUUGUCAACCUGCAAAAGGAAUACAAGGGUAAGCUGCCGAUGGGGGUAAUAUCGAGAAAAUGAAACGUUGGUUUGAGUUACUCACAGCGUCAUCGGGAACUUCGUAUUCGGAGUCAAUCAUGCCGCGGUAUGAAAGUGCCGAUUUGCAGAAUAGAUGCUCUUUCCAUUCUGCCCACCAUAACUUGUAUGCCUGAGUGAUAAAAGCAGCCGGAACCCAUUCUGACAGAUUUACAUCUAUAUCAGCGUUUGGUGGUAGUUGGGCUGCUCGAGUCCACUCAAGAAGGUUGUUGAUAGUUUCUCUGGGUUUUAUCACAUCGGCAUAAGGAAGUGCAAUCGGCAACUGGCCGAAAGCUAACUGGCGAGCUAAUGCCGAUGGAUUGUAAAAUUCGUAAGUUUGAGGGGAGGUUUUUGUGCUACCAAAGAAAUUCACUGGAAUGAUUCUGGGAGUCACAAUUGCCAUCAUCACCUCAUUGUCCCUGUCAAGAGCUUCAUCAAAUGGAUUGAAGGUCAGAGGGAGCAUGCUAUCUGGGUCAUCAUAAGCCAACCAUGGUCGUUCGUCUCUGGUCAAACCCUCAUACAGAGUCUGGAAGAAUCGGCCGAUCUGAUCUGGAUUACCCCCUGAACCAGGCAGAACUAUGACAGCUUCGCCGAAGUUCAAGGGGGUGCGUGUUGCCGAUUCCUCUUCACCCAAUACAUGGUUUUCAGCUAUAUCUCUUGGGAAACGCUGUGUGAACAGGUUGAAGUUGAGACGCUUGUGCAGAUGCAGAUUGAGCCACAUGUUGACAAACCACCAGGGGCCUCCCAAGUUGCCAAUGGAUUGGCCGAGCAGAAGUUUCUAGGCUACUUGAUGGAGAAGGUGGUAAGCAGCGCCAAGCAAGUAUCGGCCGAGAGGGAAUCGGCCACCGUUAGCCAGUCUUUCUGCUGCCGAUAGGUAGACAGAAGUUGGUCCUGCCGAUCGACCACAGAAUACAAACUUGUCCAGCCACAUAUUCAGAAAGGUGGUUUGUUCCUUUAUGGUGACAGAUCCUUUCCCACGGUACUUCUGAAUGUACCCCGACCAACCGCCGAUAGCGCGAGUCUCCACUUUGGCACUAGGGGCAGUAUCAAAAAAGUGGGUGCUAUCGGCAGAAGAUAUAUCUAGACCAGUAAGAAUGGCUACAUCGGCAAGAGUAGGAGAAGCAGGGCCGUGGCCAAAGGCAAAAGCAUUGAGGGUGUCUGACCAAAAGUAGGAUGCAGCUAUCAGCAGUGACUCGUUCCUAUGCAUAUCGGUAAUGGACAAUCUAAUGCAUUGGGCUAGAUUCCUUUCACCCCACUGAGCUUCAUUAGAGUUGCUGACCCUCAAGAACCAGUCUUUCCACCCUACAGUUGGGCUGGGCCAAGAGCGGAAGGUGUCCUUCCACAGAUCUAAGGAAAAAUUUUCGGCUCUGAAGGGGAUCCUGUUGGUUUCUGCGUUGAUAAGGUCAGUUGGAUCUGGGUCCCCUAGAGGGCCGAGGCAUUGAAGGUGUGGUUGAUCGGUGGGGAUGACAAUUUUGUUGGACAAUUCCUAGUGAUUUUGGGCGUAAAAAGAAAUACAAAGAGGAAAGAAAAGGAAGAUGUUCAGUAAAAUGAAUUGCGAGUGAACAGGGAUAUGAAGAAAAAUACAGAAGACGGGGUGGAGAUUUGACCUCAGGGACGACGAACCCGACGGCCAUCUUGCUGCGAAGGAAGCGUGUGAAGGCGCCGGAGUUGAUGAAGAGGGGUACUUGUCGGAGACCUUAGGAGUUUUUGGUGGCGCCGCCGCUGGAAAAGUAAAGUUGGGUAGUAGAAUGGUGUGAUGGGGAAGGAGUACCCAAGAAGGAACUAUUUAUAGGACAAGAUGGGCAAGGGCAAAUCCGACUUAUCUCUUUGCCGCAUCCGAGAAAUCCGAGGGUACUCAGGUGGAUAUGGUAACUGUUCGCACGGUAAUCCAGGGAUUGUGCAGGUGAUUUGACGGGAAGCGGUCAUUAUCUGAAGAUAUUUUACUGUGCGAGAUCUCCUGGUCGGUCCAUCGGCGAUAUUCUAUAACGGUCAUAUUGCCGAUGGGCGGAUAGAGGGGAAGUAACCGUUUUUGCGAAUAUCCUGGUCAGAACAUCGGCAGAUCUUUGUAACGGUAUUGUUGCCGAUGUACGACUGAGAAAAAUGCCCGUUUAGGAAGUUGGGGAUUUCGAGGAAUCUGCGGAGGAUUAGGAUCAGAGUUGUCCAGAUUGAGGUUGUCGGUUACCAGAUUAGGAGCAUUAAUUGCGGGAGGAAGCAUCAUUACUGCAGAGAAUUUCGGAGCAUUAAUAGUUUUAUACUCCGAAACUGGGGGGCAUGUGUUGACACCAUUUUUGGGCGCGUGUCUAGGAUGGCAGGAUAAGGUGGCAGUACGAUGUUUACAAAGCGGGUUGCCGAUGAGGAUGGUGGCCGAUGAGGGAGAAGUUGAAUGUGACUAAGUCCACAGGCAGUAAUAUGGUGCCGAUGGCUAGAUAAGAAAGUCUGCCGAUGACUAUGGCAAAGGAUUUGCCGAUGAUGCAAAGGAGGAGUCUGGAAGCUGCCGGUCGUUAUGUGGAGGAGUUUCGGUUUGUCACGAGGGAUAGUUUUGUUAUUUCCUUAAUUAUUUGCAUUGUUUUGUAUACGGAUUCCGUGUAAUUUGGAGUUCGAAUUCUAAUCGUGUCUGGUUGUAGCUCUUUGAGCAGGGUAUAAAUAUAGACCCUAGGGCCUUGUAAUAAUCAAUCAAGAAAUCAAUCAAACACACGUUUUUACUCAUAUUCCAGCAUUUACUUUUCGACGACUUCGUCAUACUUUUUCCUUUUGUUACGAGUUCUUAGGAAUUCGUCGACUUAAGCUCAGCGUGUUCUCAAGUUCCGCGUGAGUACCUCUUAGCCGUGACAUCCGGGCGCAUCGCUGUUGUCAGGACUAAAGUAUUCGAGUUAUCACCUUUGCCGAUAGCAAGGUCAAAUCGGCUGGCACGCCUUAACGUUUGAAUCGGGUAUUAGCCCUUUGUGUUUGCAGAUCAGUUUUGCAUCAACACCAUCGACUACCCGGAAAGGGUAGAAGAAUGGGACCUAUUCUAGGACAUACAAUGCAUUACAGACGUAUGAUCAUUACCCUUCAACCGGGUUAUUCUAUUCCACUUCUAGAUAGAGAAACGAACUAAAGGAGAAUACUUAAUAAUACGGCGAAACAUUUAUACAAAACACCUAUCCCGAGCACACGCAAGGGAACCGUAGACAGGCAAGUGAAAUCCAAUCCACGAAAUAAAUUGAUCCAUGGACGGCACCGUUGUGGUAAAGGUCGUAAUGCCAGAGGAAUCAUUACCGUAACAAUAGGACCUGGGGAUUUCUUGGUUCAUCAUGCUAUUGCUCUAGGUUUGCAUACAACUACAUUGAUUUUAGUAAAGGGUGCUUUAGAUGCACGCGGUUCCAAAUUAAUGCCGGAUAAAAAGGAUUUCGGGUAUAGUUUUCCUUGCGAUGGCCCAGGGCGCGGCGGUACUUGUGAUAUUUCUGCUUGGGACGCGUUUUAUUUGGCUGUUUUCUGGAUGUUAAAUACCAUCGGAUGGUUACUUUUUAUUGGCAUUGGAAACACAUUACAUUAUGGCAGGGCAACGUUUCACAAUUUAAUGAAUCCUCCACUUAUUUGAUGGUCGGGAGGAAGAACCGGUAAUAAGCACAAAACCAUCCAUUCUGGUUCUACAUUUGUUUGAAUAAAAUGUUUCGCCAAUUGCAUGCGUCUAAUCAAAAAAACUUUUCUUAUUCGUCUUUUUCUAUCUUCCCAUUCAUCUCCACUAUACCCCUCGUCUUCUAAUUCCUUCCAUUCUACCAAAGAAUUCUCUAUAAUAAUUCGCAAAUCUAAAUCCGCUAAUUGUUCUCUAAUAGCACCUGCUCCUGUUGCAAUUUCCCGAUUUCGAAAUGUUGCAAAGCCUGGGGUAGAAAAAAAGGGAGAAAUACUGUGGUUACAGGAUGAAAUUUCAUCCUCGAAUAAACCCCGUAAUCGUAAGAAAGUAGGUUUUUUAGCGCUGGGCCUAGCAAAAGAGAAAUCACCAUAUACUAGGCCCUCCAAUUUCUUAAGGGGUUUAUCUAAAAGAUUCGCAAUAUAACUAGGAAGACCUUUCAAAUACCACACAUGAGUCACUGGACAUGCUAGUUUGAUGUAUCCCAUUUGAUAUCUUCGUAUCCGAGAAUCAACAAAUUCUACCCCGCAUUUUUGACAAAAUCUUUCGUCUUCGUUUUCAGCUACGCUCGCUCGAGAGUUUCCACAAGCACAAAUUCCGCUUUUAUGGGUCCAAAGAUUCUUUCGCAAAACAAUCCAUCUUUUUCUGGUUUAUCGGUUUUAUAAUGAAAAGUGGAGGGCCUUGUGACUUCGCCAACGACUUCCCCAUUAGGUAGGAUUUUUUUAGCCCAAGCCUUUAUUUGUUUAGGGGAAACGAGUCCAAUUUGAAGUUGUUUAUGUUUAUAUUGGUCAAUCAUAAAAUAGAAAUAAUAAAAAAAUUUAUAUUUAUUCCGAUCAAACAUCCUCCCUAUUAACCCGGAAGUUCUUCUCAGAUACAAGGAAAUGGUUCAGUUCUAGAGCCAAAGAUCGUAGUUCUCGAACGAGCACUCGAAAAGAUUCUGGCGGAUCCUCGUCAAAUCCAAGUUGGUGAAGAUCAUGAUUUGGGCUGGCAUAGUAGUUAUUACCUUUGCAAUUGCGGUUCGAAUCUAUCCGAUCUUUAUCUUUUUGCUCAAAGAACGAAUAAAACCCCUUGUUGAAGCCCUUUAUGAUAAGCUUCCCUGGAUCUGGGAAGUUUCUCUUUCACGGUAUUGGGAUCGUUUGAUCGAUUUCCUUGAUCGCUACUUAUGGGCGUGCGCUCAAAGGAUACAAACAGGGAUUCACAAACAAAAAGGGGAAUUCGUAGUCACUUUUUCCUGUCGCGUAAAAAAAAGGCUUUACGCGAGAGCAAUAGAGGUUGGGAUACAUCUAUCUCUUCUGAGCAACCUCUUUUGGAUUCUUAAGACCACCCUUGCAGUAGGAUACCGUCUGCUUUAGGUUCUUUAUUAUCUCCUUCGAGGGGUUUUUAGGAUCAUUUGUCAAGUUUGAUCAGUACUAUAAUCCUAAGUAUUUUAUUGAUUAGGCGGCACCCAGAUUUGAACUGGGGGUAAAGGAUUUGCAGUCCCCUGCCUUACCACUUGGCCAUGCCGCCAAAAAAUCCGAUCUAAAAUCGAGAAAAGAGCAAGUAUUCAUCCACAUUUUUUUACUAAUUACUAAAAUUACUAAAACCUUUUUUUCUUUUAUCUUGAAUCUAAUUCUACUUACUUUCUUUUUUCGAAUCUUUUUCAAAAAAUCAAUUUCUGCUUUUUUGGAUCCAGUUUCGCUUAUUCUCCUCGAUGGAUUCUAUCUUAAAACACACAUUGCUAACACUAGAAAACUUCCCGUUUCUUUCUAUUCUAUUGAGAUGACAAAUAAGAAAAAGUCCCGUCGCUGUCUCGGCUGUGCUACCGGAGGCUCUAGGGAAGUCGGAGGAGAGAGCACUCAUCUUGGGGUGGGCUUACUACUUAUAUGCUUUCAGCAGUUAUCCUCUCCACACUUGGCUACCCAGCGUUUACCGUAGGCACGAUAACUGGUACACCCAGAGGUGCGUCCUUCCCGGUCCUCUCGUACUAAGGAAAGGUCCUCUCAAUGCUCUAAUGCCCACACCGGAAUAAUGGACCGAACUGUCUCACGACGUUCUGAUUAUCCGCAAAAAAUUACGGUAGAGCGUGUUAUGAGUGUCUACGCAGUGGACUUGAUUUUACCAAAGAUGAUGAAAACGUAAACUCACAACCAUUUAUGCGCUGGAGAGACCGUUUUGUCUUUUGUGCCGAAGCAAUUUAUAAAGCACAAGCCGAAACCGGUGAAAUCAAGGGGCAUUACUUGAAUGCGACUGCAGGUACAUGCGAAGAAAUGAUUAAGAGAGCUGUAUUUGCAAAGGAAUUAGGGGUUCCUAUUGUAAUGCAUGACUACUUAACAGGAGGAUUCACCGCAAAUACUACUUUGUCUCAUUAUUGCCGCGACAACGGCCUACUUCUUCACAUUCACCGAGCAAUGCAUGCAGUUAUUGAUAGACAGAAAAAUCAUGGUAUGCAUUUCCGUGUAUUAGCUAAAGCAUUGCGUAUGUCGGGGGGAGAUCAUAUCCACUCCGGUACAGUAGUAGGUAAGUUAGAAGGGGAGGAAGGUCGGAAUCAGCAAUUGAUAAAAAAGAAAGGAUAUGGGCUCGCGUGAGUAGAAAACAAAAGAUAUCUAUUUUAGUUCUAUCAUCAGCUAUGGGUUCGAAUCUAAGAGAAAUUUUAGAUAAUGUUUCCUACCCCGAAAUUUUCUUGUCUUUCCCGAAUGCUAAGGAGAAGAAGAGGAUUGAGUCAAAAGAAAAAGCUAUUUUGGAGUUUUAUCAACAAUUUGCUUGUGUAGGUGGGGACCUCUGGGUAAAGCUUUUAGGCAAGGUCUUCCAUUGGCGCUUGACAAAUAAUGUAAUACGUAACCUGAUUGUGGAGUCAGAUUCGAAUCUGUCUGCAACUUGGUAAAAGAUCAAGAUAGCGACCUGUCUAUUAUAGGGAAAUUUAUGAUAUCAAAGCUCUUUAUACCUGUUUUUGUUCGUAACAUGCCUACGUACGUGUCAAACUCCUUUCGCUCGCAACAUGCCGUAUAGUAGUGAAAAAGACGAUCAACUCCUAAUGUAUAGAGUGAAAGACGGAACAUUAUACGUGUAAAGCUACAAAUACAAGUAGGAUUUCCCUAUAUUCAACUAUAUUAACAAUAGUGAGAAAAUAAGCUGAAAAUAGGAAGAAAAUAGGCUGUGCUCAGAAUGAACACAGAGUUAUCUGCUUUACGGGGGAAUGAGCACAGAGUUAUCUGCUUUACGGGGUUUCUAACAAAAGGAAGAAAGCCGUCAAGUCGUAUGAAGGAAAUCCAUGAGUAUGAGUUUUUCACCGAUUAAAACAAUGAAAGUUGCUCGUCUGUUACGUACGAGGUAUUUUAGUAGUGCAUCUGUUCUGUAUAGAGUGAAAAAAGUGUAGAGUGCACCAGAGUAGUGCCCCUGACCUAGCGAG
rnacentral:lncRNA from 1 species